CGCCUUUUGGAGGGAAUAGAAGGUCUGACCUGCCCACUGACUCAGUUAAAGGGCCGCGGUAUUUUGACCGUGCAAAGGUAGCAUAAUCAUUAGUCUUCUAAUUAAAGGCUGGAAUGAAUGGUUGGACGAGGUAUUAGCUGUCUCACUAAAAUAAACCUGAAUUUAGCUUUUUAGUCAAAAGGCUGAAAUGUUGUUGGAGGACGAGAAGACCCUAUAGAGCUUAACGUUAAAUCUUUUUAAUUUAUUUGGGUAGAUUUUGGUUUGAGAGAGUAGACGUUUCGUUGGGGUGACGGGGAGAUAAAAUUAACUCUUUUUGGUAUGUGACAUUAAUGUAUGAAUAGUUGAUCCAUAGAUAAUGAUUAAAAGACUAAGUUACCUUAGGGAUAACAGCGUAAUCUUUUUUGAGAGUUCUAAUCGACAAAAAGGGUUGCGACCUCGAUGUUGGACUAAGGGUUAUUUUUGGGUGUAGCAGCUCAAAGUUUAGGUCUGUUCGACCUUUGAAUCCUUACAU
rnacentral:rRNA from 1 species